GAUGAAGAACGUAGCGAAAUGCGAUAAGUAAUGUGAAUUGCAGAAUUCAGUGAAUCAUCGAAUCUUUGAACGCACAUUGCGCCCCUUGGUAUUCCGAGGGGCAUGCCUGUUCGAGCGUCAUUAUAACCCCUCAAGCUCAGCUUGGUGUUGGGGCCUGCUGCACUGGCAGCCCUUAAAAUCAGUGGCGGCGCCAUCUGGCUCUAAGCGUAGUAAUUCUUCUCGCUAUGGAGUCCUGGUGGAUGCUUGCCAUCAACCCCCAAUUGUUCUAUGGUUGACCUCGGAUCAGGUAGGGAUACCCGCUGAACUUAAGCAUAUCAAUAAGCGGAGGA
rnacentral:misc_RNA from 1 species